rnacentral:lncRNA from 1 species
UUUUUUUUUUUUUUUCUUUUCUUUUUUCUUCCCUUUCCUUCCUUUCUUUUUCGUUUAGAGAAGCCCUUUCAGUAUGUCUUUUAGCCUGGGUUUUGUGUUGCUGUAUUCUUUUAGUUUUUGUUUGUUGGAAAAAAUUUUUAUUUGUCCUUCUAUUUUAAAUGAUAUCCUUGCUGGAUAGAGCAUUCUAGGUUGCAUACUUUUUCCUUUUAGCACUUUAAAUAUCUCUUGCCAUUCCCUCCUGGCCUGUAGAGUUUCUGUAGAGAAAUCAGUGGAUAAUCUUAUGGGGGUUCCCUUGUAGGUAACAUUCUGCUUUCCUCUUGCUGCCUUUAGGAUCCUCUCUCUAUCACUAACUUUUGCCAUUUUUAUUAUGAUGUGUCUUGGUGUGGGUCUAUUUGGGUUCAAUUUGUUUGGGGCCCUCUGUGCUUCCUGUCUCUUGAACUCAGUAUCCUUUAGAUUUGGGAAGUUUCCAGUGAUAAUUUCUUGAAAUAUAUUUUCCAUUCCCUUAUCUUUUUCUACUCCUUCUGGAAUUCCUAUUAUGCGUAGAUUGGCCUGCUUUGCAUUAUCCCAUAGGUCUCUUAUAUUGCUUUCUUCUUUUUUGAUUUGGUUUUCUGUCUGCUGACCUGAUUGGGUGAUUUCCAUUAUUCUAUCUUCCAUAUCACUGAUUCGUUCUUCUGCAUUAUUCAUUCUGGUUUUUACUGCCCUUAGUUCAGUUUGCAUCUCUGCAAAUGAAUGUUCUAGUUUUUCUUGGCUCCUCCUUAUAUUUUCUAGUUCCUUUCUGAGGGUAUCUGCAUUACUGUUCAUAUCUUCUCUUAAUUCCUUCAGUAUUUUCACUAUUUCUCUUUUGAACUCCAGGUCUGUCAGACUGCAGAGAUCUGUUUCAUUGUUGACUGUUUUAGGUGAGUUCUCCUGUUGGUUUGACUAGGGGUGGUUUCUCAGCUUCUUCAUCUUGCUCGUUGGUUUCUUUUUCCUGAGGGAGUUGUACUCUCCGUGACUGGGCAGUGUUUGCCUUGUCACUGCCAUGGAAUAUUUCCUGAGGGCUGGCAUUGUUGAUCAGUCUUUUUUGAGGCAGUGUGUGUGUGGCUUUUCUGGAGUGUUGAUGGGGCUAACAGUGUUUCUUUGAAGCAAAGGAGGACUUCCUGAGGGCAGACAGGGCUGGGAGGUCCACACCACGAUGGUAGCAGAUUUCACUCAGUCAGGCAGAGCUUGCUCUGGUGUGUUUAGGCUGUAGGGUUCUUGCAGGGUGUUGGUGGUGUUGGGCAGAUGUUCCUCAGGAGUGCAUCACCCCCUGGGGGCUGGAGC